UACGUAGGGGGGCGAGCGUUGUCCGGAUUUAUUGGGCGUAAAGAGCUCGUAGGCGGUUCGAUAAGUCGGAUGUGAAAUCUCCACGCUCAACGUGGAGGGGCCAUUCGAUACUGUCGUGACUCGAGUCCGGUAGGGGAGUGUGGAAUUCCCGGUGUAGCGGUGAAAUGCGCAGAGAUCGGGAGGAACACCCGUGGCGAAGGCGGC
rnacentral:rRNA from 1 species